AAAAUUUCGUAUCUAUAACAAUUUUCCUAUCUUGAACCUUUCCCCGAAGGGUGUCCAACAGCUGCUUUUGGAAGUUGGCAAUAGAUCCUCGACCACCCUACUUCAGUUGAAGAACUUCUAUCUCUUCUCGACGUUAGCCCUUCUGUUUUCCUUCUCUACGUUUUUCAGCAGCUUGUUUUUGUUUAGGGCUUUUCCGACGGACUGUGUUUUACUGAAUUAGCUUUUCAGCCUGGUAGAAUGCUGUCUUUGAAUUUUCUUUUGCUAAAAUUGAGCGUUUGCUGGCAAAAGUUAAACAAUCCCCUUCAAAAUCAAUGCUAAUUGCGCUCACUCCAUCACAGAAUGCCUUGGUUUCUGAUCGACUUCUUAGGCAUUCAAAUAUUAAUGUCAAAGUUGCAGUUGCAGCAUGCGUUAGUGAAAUAACUCGGAUCCUUGCACCUAAUGCCCCUUACAGUGAUGGAAGUAUGAAGGAGGUAUUUCAUCUUAUAGUAUCAUCCUUUGAAAAUCUCUCUGACAAGUCAAGUCGAUCAUAUGUAAAAUGCGCAUCCAUUCUUGAAACUGUUCCGAGGGUCAGAUCAUAUGUGGCCAUGCUGGAUUUGGAAUGUGAUGCAUUGAUAUGUUCCAACAUUUCCUUAAGACAGUAAGGCUCUUGAUCGAGGUGCUGCAUUGUUGAAAGUAGUCAAGCUUGCCACAAGGCACAAUGCAAUUGAUAUGGCUGAAACAGUUCUAUUAGAUAUAUUAUGAGGUGAUAUUGCCAGGUAUUUUAAUAGUAAGACUUUUUUUCUGUCAAUUACUUUUGUCCCUCAUUUGGGCUGUAUUAGAUUGAAGUGAUGCUUUGAAUUUGUAUAUUGAGUAGAUGUACUGCAAUAAGUACCGAUGAAGAUGGACCAAUUCCAAGAUGCAAACCUUUCAAGUACACAUAUGAAAAGAAGAUAGUAGUAUAUUUUUAUAUUUUAGUCUCAUAGCUCUAGAGCAAGUCUUGCAUCAUGCAGCACUCAAUUUGUUUAUUGGUUGAUUCUAGUUGUAAACCUUAACGAUAGAUGUUCACGUAUGGUUACUUCAAGAAGCUGGACUACUUCUCCACCGAGUAAUUCAAGAACUUUCCAAGUUUCAACAAAUUAGAGACUUUGUUGAAGUUGUUUGAAUGAAUCUAUCACUUUACAUGGAAAUAGGAAUCAGGCUUUGACGGGAAUGGAAAGUACCUUUUUCUAGCUUUUCAUAGUAGUGCUCAUUCAGCAGUCUCCUUCCUUUGGAGGAUUUUCUUGACAACCACGACAACAAGAAGCAGAAGCAGGGGGAGCUGUAAAAUGUCACUCAUAAUUUAACUCAUCAAAUUGUGAAGGUAAGAAUAAGAUUGCCAAAGGAAAAACUUUUGGAUUUUGCCAAAAAAUUUGGAAGUCAUAAAAUUUUCAAUGGCUUGGAGUUCUUGAUAGAGGCUUAGGCAUUUGUGUUCAAUAAAUGAGAAACUGAAUUUUAACUAUAAUUCCAUUGGAGAUGGUCACUGUGAUGGAAUAGGAAGGACAAAAGGGUUUAUGUUCUGUGGAUCAUUGCUGGAGCCACAAUUCAGUGGAUAAAGUGCCUAAUUCACAAGAAACUUCUCAGACUUGGACGUAGGAAGGAAUUCUUGUAUUUUUUGAAUAAUGUUGGUGAAAAUGCCAUAAGAAGCUGUCUGUUUAAGGGGAGUUCUCCAUGUAUUUUUAUGAAUCUUUUUCUGAAAAAGAGAGUUCCUGUCUUGGUCUCUA